ACGAACGCUGGCGGCGUGCCUAAUACAUGCAAGUAGAACGCUGAAGGAGGAGCUUGCUUCUCUGGAUGAGUUGCGAACGGGUGAGUAACGCGUAGGUAACCUGCCUGGUAGCGGGGGAUAACUAUUGGAAACGAUAGCUAAUACCGCAUAACAGUAGAUAUCGCAUGAUAUCUACUUGAAAGGUGCAAUUGCAUCACUACCAGAUGGACCUGCGUUGUAUUAGCUAGUUGGUGAGGUAACGGCUCACCAAGGCGACGAUACAUAGCCGACCUGAGAGGGUGAUCGGCCACACUGGGACUGAGACACGGCCCAGACUCCUACGGGAGGCAGCAGUAGGGAAUCUUCGGCAAUAGACGGAAGUCUGACCGAGCAACGCCGCGUGAGUGAAGAAGGUUUUCGGAUCGUAAAGCUCUGUUGUAAGAGAAGAACGAGUGUGAGAGUGGAAAGUUCACACUGUGACGGUAUCUUACCAGAAAGGGACGGCUAACUACGUG
rnacentral:rRNA from 1 species